rnacentral:lncRNA from 1 species
UUAGUUUCAAUUCCUUGUCUUCUCUCGCAUUUUUCUGGGGAUUUCGGAGUUUGGUGGAGUUGUAGAACUUGUUUCGAAGCAGAGAGUUUGAUUCGAACUCAAAUCUCUGUUAGAUACCGCUGAUUUUGCCAUUUUGGGAAAUGUCGGUCAUGUUCGUCUCGGAUUUCAGUCAGUUUAUUCAAUUUUUUUAUUCAACCAGUUUAGCGAUGGAGUUUGAUUGAGUUGGGCCAUUCCGAGCUGUCCGUGGCUGCUGUUCGAGUUCUGCUUUUGAUCGGGUUUUGAUUUGUUGUUCGUUGGUUGUUGCUGUUCUUCUAAAAGCUUUUAAACAUCUGGA